rnacentral:misc_RNA from 1 species
AAGUCGUAACAAGGUAACCGUAGGUGAACCUGCGGUUGGAUCAUUAAUAAAUCUAGAAGGUCUUAAAGACCUCUCUAACAUCUUGUGAAUCGUUUAUGUCUCUGGCAGGCUCAGUCUGCCGAGUAUACUUUGUAUUAUAUUUAGUCUAAAAAUUUAUAAAAGUAAUUAAAACAACUUUUGACAACGGAUCUCUAGGCUCUC